UGUGGUCUCUAGAUCUACUCCUCCAUCAGUUCCUCUCCCUAGGAACUUGUUGAUGAUAGUAGGUGAAAGUUUCACACACUUACCCCUUACAAAAACUUUGCAGCCCUCCCUGCUGCUUCUUUCAUAUAUCUCCUCAGGGAUGUUCACAAUGAAUUCUUUGACCAACCCCUCAUAGCACUGAGGCAGAGCAGUCACAGUUUUCAUAAGACCAGCUGUCUUAAUUAACUCCAUGACUUCCUUUACUUCACUUGCCUCUUUUCCC
rnacentral:lncRNA from 1 species